ACUUCACUUUUCCAUUCGAUGUGCCUCUACUAUGCAAACCUACGCUUUCGGCUGCCUGAUACUUCAUUUCCAGGUUCCUUACCAGCUUAUUUUCCUUGUGACGCAUCCCGCGGACCGCCGCACCGAUCAGCCAGUGCUACAGUGUACUAGCGCCGAGAACGCAUAUUAGACGACACUGUUUAUCUUAGGUUCCUUCAAACUUGUAAGAGCCUUUUUCACAAUCACUUAAACGUAACAUUACCUGGUUACGGUGCUGCUACACGGCAGAAUGUGUAAAUGGCAGAUGACCCAAGUGCGGCAUGUGCGCGCACUUGUUUAGAGAAAAUAAGGAGUAUUCAUCAUUUAUUUCGCAAUGUAAACGCACAUUCCUGACACAUGGUUCAGGUCUGCCGUCCGCCGACUAAGGGCGGUAGUGAAUGAAGUCGCUAAAUGAGUGCUUUGCGGCGUCAUUAAACGCGCGGGAAACAGCGUUCCUUUACAUAGUAAUAUGAGCCUUUACAUAGCAAUAUCGCUGCGCUGUCAACAGCCAUUCUCUGGUAACCUUUCUCCGCAGCGUAACGCUCGAGUGCUCUGUGCAGAUGUGACAAAGGUUGUGUGUGCGGUCGGUAUUUGUGAUUUUCUAGAAAGGAACUUCAUUACAAAGUGCGUGAUCAGGCUGCGUGGUCGUCCAUUCUACUAGAGCGGGACAAUCAAUAAACGAUACAAGCAUGGACAUACACAUGCUGUUGCCAAAUAACCCUUAAGGUGGGUCCAUUUAAUACUGGUGAUCUAAUCGUGGAUGAAGACUGGGAUGUUCUCUUUAUGUGCUUGCUUCAAAGUAGGAUAAAUCGUAACUUGGCCAACAAAUUUUACUAGUGUCAUAGGGUUUUGUGAGAAAGGGUGUUGUGUAUGGCUUUGUAACAAGUCAUUGUCUCCCAUCGCACGUGUAUAUCCAGGCUGGAAGUUAUGUUCAUGUGCUCAAGAGUGCUUCAGAAACCCUCUGAGCACUUGCACGUUGAUAUUACAGCCACUUGUGAAUUCUGGUCCUAUGUAAGCAUUAAGGGGUUUUAGCACUCAUCUUAGUGAUAACCUUAGACGUUAAUUCUAUAGUGUAUAUUGUUAACUGACAAGCUGGGUCUGGUAAGUUUUACAUCUUGACACUAAGAACCUGUGGCAUGAUGAGUUUGCGCAAAAGAACAGUGCAGGUGCCAUCAUAUAUACAUUCAUUAUCAUUCACGCACACUAUUGGAGGGACUCCAAUCUACAUUAAGUACAGUGCAAUCGGCGCCAGUACCAGUGGUCGCUCAAUGUGUGGUUUGGAAUUUACGCCAGUGCAAUAAUCAGUACCAUCUUCAAUCACGCACUGACUGGACAGCGUUAUGUGAACGAAAUCCUUGAAGGAGUGGUUGAUGAGUUUCUCAGCAAAAUGGGCCACCUGCAUGCAGCAGCAGCCGAGCACGAAACUGGUUGGGUGCUACUUUUCAAAUAGAUUGGAAGGCAAGAGCCUGUAAAGAGGCUGGCUAGGUCACGUGACCUCUCCGUUAAGUUUCUUUCUUUGGGGUUAUGUGAAAGAUUGUGCCGGACGUCACAUUAGUUCAAGGUAAGGAUAACGGAUGUCUGCCAUAGAAUUCCGGCAUCGGUCAUCAAGAAAGCCACUAAAGGUGUGAUAAAAUAGACAGUACUGCGUAGCUGCAAAAGGAGACCUAUUUGAACACGUCCUCUAGGCUGAUGUUCAACGCAGCUUACGAAUUAAUAGAUAGUAAGAGCACACAGUUUUUUUUUUUUUUUUUUUUUUUUUUUUUUUUUGUCUGUGUGUGUGUGUGUGUGUGCCGACAUUCUGAUUGCCAGUUCGGCUCACAGAAGUGGUAUAUUUAAUUUCGUGAACGCAUUGGUUUUGCCUUUUCUCUACAAGUUGGUCGCUUUCCAGUGUGUUUAUUUCGCUUUUAUUUGUUGACACGAACCUGUUUUUGCAGCACGUGUACACUUUCAUGAAAAAUAAAACGCUCACUUUAUAUUGGCUUUGGUCCGAA